AGCAGCCGCGGUAAUUCCAGCUCCAAUAGCGUAUAUUAAAGUUGUUGCAGUUAAAAAGCUCGUAGUUGAAUUUCGGGGUCAGUAGGUUGGUCGUGCCACUGGUAUGCACUGGUCUCACUGAUUCCUCCUUCCUGAUGAGCCGUAAUGCCAUUAAUUUGGUGUUGCGGGGAAUCUGGACUGUUACUUUGAAAAAUUAGAGUGUUUAAAGCAGGCUAACGCUUGAAUACAUUAGCAUGGAAUAAUGAAAUAGGACGAUCGAUCCUAUUUUGUUGGUUUCUAGGAUUGACGUAAUGAUUAAUAGGGAUAGUUGGGGGCAUUAGUAUUCAAUUGUCAGAGGUGAAAUUCUUGGAUUUAUUGAAGACUAACUACUGCGAAAGCAUUUGCCAAGGAUGUUUUCAUUAAUCAAGAACGAAAGUUAGGGGAUCGAAGACGAUCAGAUACCGUCGUAGUCUUAACCAUAAACUAUGCCGACUAGGGAUCGGAUGAUGUUAAUUUUUAANGUACUCAUUC
rnacentral:rRNA from 1 species